rnacentral:pre_miRNA from 1 species
CAAAUACUUCCUCCGUCCGGAAAUACUUGUCAUCAAAAUGGAUAAAAGGGGAUGUAUCUAGACAUAUUUUAGUUCUAGAUACAUCUCUUUUAUUCAUUUUGAUGACAAGUAUUGUCGGACGGAGGGAGUACAUA